rnacentral:rRNA from 1 species
ACACAGGUGGUCAGGUAGAGAAUACCAAGGCGCUUGAGAGAACUCGGGUGAAGGAACUAGGCAAAAUGGUGCCGUAACUUCGGGAGAAGGCACGCUGAUAUGUAGGUGAAGUCCCUCGCGGAUGGAGCUGAAAUCAGUCGAAGAUACCAGCUGGCUGCAACUGUUUAUUAAAAACACAGCACUGUGCAAACACGAAAGUGGACGUAUACGGUGUGACGCCUGCCCGGUGCCGGAAGGUUAAUUGAUGGGGUCAGCGCAAGCGAAGCUCUUGAUCGAAGCCCCGGUAAACGGCGGCCGUAACUAUAACGGUCCUAAGGUAGCGAAAUUCCUUGUCGGGUAAGUUCCGACCUGCACGAAUGGCGUAAUGAUGGCCAGGCUGUCUCCACCCGAGACUCAGUGAAAUUGAACUCGCUGUGAAGAUGCAGUGUACCCGCGGCAAGACGGAAAGACCCCGUGAACCUUUACUAUAGCUUGACACUGAACAUUGAGCCUUGAUGUGUAGGAUAGGUGGGAGGCUUAGAAGUGUGGACGCCAGUCUGCAUGGAGCCGACCUUGAAAUACCACCCUUUAAUGUUUGAUGUUCUAACGUGGACCCGUGAUCCGGGUUGCGGACAGUGUCUGGUGGGUAGUUUGACUGGGGCGGUCUCCUCCUAAAGAGUAACGGAGGAGCACGAAGGUUGGCUAAUCCUGGUCGGACAUCAGGAGGUUAGUGCAAUGGCAUAAGCCAGCUUGACUGCGAGCGUGACGGCGCGAGCAGGUGCGAAAGCAGGUCAUAGUGAUCCGGUGGUUCUGAAUGGAAGGGCCAUCGCUCAACGGAUAAAAGGUACUCCGGGGAUAACAGGCUGAUACCGCCCAAGAGUUCAUAUCGACGGCGGUGUUUGGCACCUCGAUGUCGGCUCAUCACAUCCUGGGGCUGAAGUAGGUCCCAAGGGUAUGGCUGUUCGCCAUUUAAAGUGGUACGCGAGCUGGGUUUAGAACGUCGUGAGACAGUUCGGUCCCUAUCUGCCGUGGGCGCUGGAGAACUGAGGGGGGCUGCUCCUAGUACGAGAGGACCGGAGUGGACGCAUCACUGGUGUUCGGGUUGUCAUGCCAAUGGCACUGCCCGGUAGCUAAAUGCGGAAGAGAUAAGUGCUGAAAGCAUCUAAGCACGAAACUUGCCCCGAGAUGAGUUCUCCCUGACCCUUUAAGGGUCCUGAAGGAACGUUGAAGACGACGACGUUGAUAGGCCGGGUGUGUAAGCGCAGCGAUGCGUUGAGCUAACCGGUACUAAUGAACCGUGAGG